GCUAAGGGGUGUGGACAGCAGUGUGAAGAGUAAAAGAGGGCUGGUUCUCGCGGCCGCUGGGACGAAAAGAAGGAGGAAGCCUGGUUCACGCAGUGGCCAGGUCGAGGAGAAGGAGAAGGACCGUGCGCGCGGUGGCAGGGGCGCGGAGGAAGGAGGAGGACCGUGCGCCCGGCGGCAGGGUCGCGGAGGAAGGAGGAGGACCGUGCGCGCGGAGGUAGGGGCGCGGAGGAAGGAGGAGGACCGUGCGCGCGGCGGCAGGGGCGCGGAGGAAGGAGGAGAACCUUGGACACGGCGGCGGGGGCGCGGAGGAAGGCGGAGGAUCGUGCACGCGGCGGCGGCGGCGUGGAGGAACGAAGAGGACGGUACGCGCGGCGGCGGGGCUGGAAAGGAUGGCGUGAGAGGAGGGUCCGAGGACAGCGGCGGGGCGGGUGUAGUGCUGGUCGAGGCCGGUGACGGCGCGGGGGUAGAGGGGGCCGAGGGUGUGGCGGUGCGUAGAGCAGGACCACCCCGUGGUAUUGGCCUGGUGGGGUCAGGGGUCCAGCAAGUUGCGGUGGUGGGGUCAGGCAAGUAACGUCGUUGUGGGACCUAGGUCGACGGCGGUACAGCAAGGGUGUUGCUGCAAGCUACCUCGUGGAGCAGAGAGAGGACGACGUCCCUCCGGGUUGAUGACGUGACACCUCCCAUGACGGCCUCUAUUCAUCAUCCGCCGUUUCACAAAACUCCGUCGUUUGUUCUGCUCCGUAUUUCUACUGCCCGUCGCGGUUCGGCAAGCUACGGCGUCGAGCCCUCCGGCGGAGGAAACUGUUGAGGACUAGAGGCCUUGUCGGUACCGAGGGACGGCCGUGUUGAGCGACAGCUGCUGGAGGAAACUGUUGAGCGGAAACUCCGGGUGGUCUGAGUGUGCUGCUACGACCGGCAGGUGUCGGUUGUGGUGUCCGGCAAGUGUCGGUCGUGAGUACAGGCGAGAGUUUUGGUGGGGUUUCACGUCUGGCAUGUACUCCUGUCCCGCUCACUACCUGAACUUCCUAAAGUCAGUUAGUUCGAUCAACAGCUUUUCCAUCACAAGCGGCAGCUGCCACGACGGUAAACUCAAAUACCGAGACGGUACCUCCGAAGGACCUUCAAAGAGACAAAGGUACAUGCCACAGCCACAAGGUACUGUCGCCGGCACUGCGCACUACAAGGGACCAAUUCUAACCAAAUGAAACCGAGAGUGUCAUCCUCCUGUCCGUGCCACACGUAAGUCAGAGUCUUGGACUUUGAUUGGACUGACUCCACGGUAAGUCAAAAGUCACUAUUCGAGGUAAAUAAAUGAUCAUCAAAGUGGAAUAAAAAACUUAAUUUUUCUUGUUUUGAAUUGAUCAAACUGGUGGCACACUGGCGGUUCGUGUUCCUUCCUUCCCGGUGGCAGACUCCGCUGCGCAUGUAUACAUGUGGGUCCUCAGUCCUGUCCUGUGUUGUAGGCUGCGCCGCAUGCAUGAUGUGACUCCUGAGGGAGCAGUGGCUAUUUCUGUUCUUCUGGCCGUCGUAGGAGUAGGUCAAACAUAUUUAAGGGUAGCUCGUUCACACAUGCCGCUCGCCGAUGACUUGAACACGCCGACGACGAAAACCUAACGGGUCCUUCGUGUAGUAAUAUCUUCCGUUUUUAGACAUUGUAUAUACAUUGCGGAACCUAGGCUACGCGGUUCUCAGGCAGUCAAUAAGCAGCAGCAACAGUACAGUAAACGAACGCACAACGUAACACGGUACAGUAGUAGACGUAAAGUAG
rnacentral:rRNA from 1 species